rnacentral:lncRNA from 1 species
GUGAGAGCAGUGCUGGAAAGGUAAUCCUACAGAAACCUGGCCUGCAGGCUGUGCUGAUUGGAUUAUUUACUGCUUCUGCUCUCCGCUGAGGACGCCCACCCUCGCGCUAUACCACCGCACCAGAGUUCGGCUCUUCAGGCCUUGUUUUCGUCUGCAGUGUUCUUCAGGAACGGGUGUUUUAUAUUCAGCGUUGAUUCCUGUACAGGCGUUCUCCAUAGCUCCGCCCUCCACCCGCCAUAGCAGUUGAAACACUGGUCACCGUGCCCACCUGUGAUUAAAGCAGGCGGUCAGCGUGCAUUAGCGUAAUGUAAUCUGUCAGAAGGUUAACUGCUGUCCCUGUUGGCUUACCAAGACCUGGUAGUAGGCUUCCGUCUUAAGUUGUAAUUCUCCACUACUGCUCACGAGCACGUUCGCUUCACCCAGCCAUAGCCCUGCUGUGCAGUAUGUCGAACCAUGUGUACGGUGAUCGUGUGCUUCCUUAUACGCCAGCUGUGUAAGUUCCUCAUCAGCUUGUGGGCCACGCGAGAAGCUUCAGCUCACAAUUACCCAACACACUUAUUAGGACUCCCCCUAUCACUAGUGAUGCCCCAACACACCAGGAGGAUGAAGACUAACACGUUUCCUCCGAUACAUGUGAAGUCAGCCACUGCUUCUUCUUUUGGAGCUGCUGCUGAUGCAGCAUUACCGAGCAGCAUUACAGCGCUAACACUCGGAGGAAAGCGCAGCGACUCGGUUCUGAUACAUCAGCUCACAGACGCCCUGUGCUGCAAACAUCACCAUAGGAGUGAUGUGGGGAGAGAGCGCCAUCUACCCACCCGGAGGGAGCAGGGCCAAUUGUGCUCCUUCUGA